GGCUUCACUCAUAGCAUAUGGAUGUUCCCAGGCUAGGAGUCGAAUUGGAGCUGCAGCUGCUGGCCUACACCACAGCCAUGGCAACACAGGAUCCUGCAACCUAUGCUGCAGUUCCGGCAAUGCUGGAUCCUUCACCAAAGUAGGCCUGGGAUCGAACCGGCAUCUUCAUGGGUACUAGUUGGGUUCUUCACCUGCUGAGCCACAACAGGAACUCCUCCCCCUCACACAUUAUCAGCAUUACCCUGAUUCCUCUGUAGAAAGCACAGCCCAGCCUUGACCAAAAACAUUGGAAACUCUAGGGAGGCCCUACCGAGGAUUUCAAACUACCUAACUGAAGAACCCAAACUAUUUCUUACGUCAAAUGGAGAGCACUGCAAAUAAUUUUUAUUAGAAAGGAAACAUGCUUAAGAAUUGCACCUGGAGUUCCUGUUGUGGCUCAGCGGAAACAAAUCUGACUAGCAUCCAUGAGGACACAGGUUCGAUCCCUGGCCUUGCUUAGUAGGUUAAGAAUCUGGCAUUGAUGUGAGCUGUGGUGUAGGUCACAGAUGCCACUCGGAUCCUGGCAUUGCUCUGGCUGUGGUGUAGGCUGCUGGCUGUAGUUCUGAUUCGACCCGUAGCUUGGGAAACUCCAUAUGCCAUGGAUGCGGCGCUAAGAAGACAAAAAAAAAAAAAAAAAAAAAAAGCCUCAUUUUAGAUUUGAUGCCCUUCCCUACAAAGUAUCUUGUGAUACUUAUUUUUAUCUACUUAUUUAUAUUUGCCAUACCCAUGGCAUAUGGAAGUUUCUGGACCAAGAAUCGAACCUGCUCCUAUGCAGCAAACCAAACCACUGCAGAGAUAAUGCUGGAUCCUUAAACUGUUGUGCCCCAGUGAGAACCCCAAGCAUCUCUUGAUACUUUAAAAAAAGAUUCGAGUGACUGUGUUGCCAGGCUCUGCUAAUCAAUGCAUGUUUUAAUCAAAGAGAAAAUAUGGAUUUUGUGUGUGUUCUGAAAGUCAGCAGGGAAUCAAACUUUGUUCUGCGCAUUGAGUAAAGAUUUUAGCAACCUAACAGGGAGUGAUGCUCAACAUUGCUAAUUAUUAGAAAAACACAAAUCAAAACUACAAUGAAGUUAUUACCUCACACUGGUCAGGAAGGCCAUCAUCAAAAAGGUCUAGAAAUAAUAAAUGCUAAAUGUGGUGAAAAAGGAACUCUCUUACACUGUUUGUAGGAAUGUAGCUAUUAUGGAGAACAGUAUGGAGGUUACUAAAAAAAAAAAAAAAAACCAAAAACCCUAAAAACAGAGCUACCAUAUGAUUCUGCAAUCCCACUCUUGAACAUGUAUCUUGAGAAAAACACACUUUGAAAAGACACAUGCACCCCAAUGUUCAAUGCAGAACUAUUUUCAAUAGCCAAGACAUGGAAGUAACCUAAAUGUCCAUUGACUGAUGAAUGGAUAAAGAAGAUGUGGUAUAUUUACACAAUGAAAUACUACUCAUCCAUAAAAAAGAAUGAAAUAAUGCCAUUUGUGGCAACAUGGAUGGACCUAGAGAUCAUCACACUAAGUGAAGUAAGCCAAAGACAAAUACCAUGCGAUAUCACUUAUAGGUAGAAUCUAAAAAAAUGACACAAACUUAUUUGCAAAGCAAAUGGACCCACAGGCAUAGAAAACAAACUUAUGGUUACUGAAGGGAAAAGGAGGGGAGAGAUAAAUUAGGAGUUUGUGUUUAACAUAUACAUACUACUACAUAUAAAAUAGAUAAUCGACAAGUUCCCUCCUUAUAGCCCAGGGAACUAUACUCAAUAUUUUGUAAUAAUCUAAAAGGGAAAAGAAUCUGAAAAAGAACAUACAUAACUGAAUCACUUUGCUGUGCACCUGAAACGAACACAACAUUGUAAAUCAACUACAUUUCAAUGAUAAAGGGGGGGAGUGCGUAGACUGGUCUUCCUUUAUACAACCUUCAUUGCAGUACAUUUACUUUGGUCUGACUCCACCCAGAAAAUGUUACAAGCAGCAAUACAGCUUUUAGGUUGGAGCCAGGGUAGAACAUUUUGUCUUGAUAAUAUAGCAAUGCCAUCUAUGUUGCUAUGGAGGUGGUGACAUUCUGCAGAUGAUGUUGCAAUUGAUCUUGCGGUGAACUCGUAGGCCAGUCAUCACAAACUACUACAGCAAGUGCUACAAAACAGUAAUUUGCAUUCACCAGUAAAUACUGAUACACACCAAGUUGUCAAUAACGGGUGGACCUUUCAGAAAACCUCCUCUCCAUGGCAGAUAUCUCAUUAAGACGCGUGUGAGGGGAUUAGGUGUUCUGACGAUACUUAACACAGGAGAAAAAUUAGAAACAAUCCAAUCAGGAACGAUGAGGUUGCGGGUUCACCCCCUGACCUCGUUCAGUGGGUUAAGGAUCUGGCAUUGUUGUGGGCUGUGGUGUAGGUCGCAGACAUGGCUCAGAUCCUGCAUUGCUGUGGCUGUGGUGUAGGCCGGCAGCUACAGUUCUGGUUUGACCCCUAGCCUGGGAACCUCCAAAAAAAAGCCAGAGGAACUGAUGAUAUGGCUUAAGAAGAGGCAGCUCUGACAUGGGAAGUGAUGUGUGAUGUAGGGGUCUAGGACUUCCUACAAAGAACCACUUUUUUCCCUGGUGGCUUCAUGUCACAUUCCUUAAAAGUCAAGUGGAAGUUCCAGCCACAUUUACUGAGUACCAUAAUCUCAAAGCCUGGCGGUCAAAGCAGUUUUGGCAAAAGGCCUUGAUAGAAAACCUGGGGAACUAACGAGACCAUGCAGCCGGAGGGUUUGAAUUCUCCAAGGAGGUAUUCAGAGGCCCUGUUGCCUUGGGCAAAGGACAGCCCAAAUCUUUCCCCAGUUCUUAAUCACUGCUGACAAGGGCUCCUGAUGCCCACAGGCUGCUCACCUUAGGGGCGGGGCUCUUUCUGCACCCCACCCUGGGGGGAGGGCAGAGGACACUGAGACAUGACAAAGCUGGCCAGCCCUUUCUUGCACUUGCGGACAUUUAUGAGCCUUGCUAUAAAUUGGUGCAGAGUCACAGGCAUCUUUCCUGGCCCCGCUGCAAUCACACCCCAUUCCUUGGCUAACUCACUCCAGGCGAAGUGAAGAGCUAGGGUGAGCAGUAGCACUGUCAUCAUGAUGAACCAAGAUAUGUGGGAAAAGUUAAAGAUGUGGGGUUCUUGCAACAGUGGGUUAUAAUCCUCAGUGGUGUGAGCGAGACCCCAGUUUAAUGGACAGCAAAUAGCAUCUCUGGACUUCAAACUGGAAAUCUUCCUGAGUUCUGCUUUUUAUUUUUUUUUAAUUAUUAUUUUUUGCUUCUUAGGGCCUCACCCAUGGCAUAUGAAAGUUCCCAGGCUGAGGGCUGAAUCAGAGCUAUAGCUGCUGGCCUACACCACAGCCACAGCAACACCAGACCCAAACCGCAUCUGUGACCUACACUGCAGCUCACAGCACUGCAGGAUCCUUAACCCACUGAGCGAGGUCAUCGAUGGAGCCUGUAUCCUCCUGGAUACUAGUUGGGUUCAUUACCGUUGAGCCACAACAGGCACUUCCUAAGCAUGGUUUUUAAUUCCUUGAAAUAGUUAUGGGGUCUACCACUGAGAUAAGGAUAUUAACACUCACAUGUUGAUUUUGCCCUCACUGCAUCAAGAAACACUGGAAGGUUUUAAAACUUACUGCAAUAUUCAAGCACAGAAUAGGACCCUCUGCAGACUGUGUGAACUUUCCCGCUGGAUCCUGCAUCUCGUGUUAUGUGAAAUGUUUUCCAUUAGGCUGUUAGCUAUGCAGGGCUCAUCAGUCUAUUGACACUCACGCAUGGCAAGCAGCAGGAUAACCCUGUGGUUCCCUUGGAUCUAGGAAGGCUGAGAUUGUGUGGGAAUAUUUCUCAUAUCACGUUUUCUGUCUCUCUUCUAAAGGGCGACUGAGGAAACCGGUGACCCACCCCCCAGGGCUUUUGCAUGAGUCAGUCAGCACCACUGCCUGUGAGCCCUUGGCAGAGACCAGCCCCCAGCGCCUCCUGGUCCUGGGAAGCCCAGCUCUCUCCUUUCCAUGCAUUCCUCAUUCCACUCUGAAACUGUUUCUUAAGAUGGGUGUGUGUGUGUGUGUGUGUGUGUGUGUGUGUGUGUGUGUGCGCGCGCGCACAGAGAGGGAUGGAGGUAAAAUGUAUGAUUUAUAUGCUUCAAAUUUCCUUCCAUUUUUGGGGCUGGGGGGUGUCGCAUGCUACUUCCAAGACAGACAUUCUAUGAGAAACAGAUUUCAAUAGAGAGUCUGAAAUGACAGGAAUGGUUUAAAUUUAGCGUUGGCUAAAGGAAAUGUUGCCUCUAGGUAACGUACAUCUAGAACGAUUCCAAAUGUUUUAUCUGACGCCAGCUGUUCAGCCUGCUGGAUAAAUCGUUUCCCAUCACCCUCUCCCGAGCACUUAGUGCAGAUGAACCCCCAGACACCAAGACCCUGGACCAGACUGCUGCUCACAGUCCCAGCAGCGGCCCCUCGCCCACUGGCUCGGUGUGACGCAUGACCAAUAAAGCCUGCCCUUGGGGACCCAGUCUCCCUGGGGAGAACCGGCCUUCCCUGGUUUUUAUUUUCCUUAGGACCUGGUGACUCAUCUUUUGUACCGUCUUACAUGGCGUGACUCAUUUCAGGCAAUUUUUUGCCCAGUCUCAGCCCAGUGGCUCAUUUCUGGGGAGGGCCCUUCCUCAUCUGUUAAAUGUCAUGAAUCACAACAUCGCACUUGGUAGGAACCCCA
rnacentral:lncRNA from 1 species